ACAUUUUAUAUCUCUGUCUGGUUGACAUAUGAAAUGAAAAAAACAUGUAAAUGAUUUUGGAAAUAAUGGCGAAUUAAAGGUCAAACCUAUUAAGAAGCAAAAGUAAAAUGUAUAUAAUGUAAUAUUGUUUGCAUGGGGACUCUUAGAAGAGUUGGCAUGGGUGGAAUGAAUCCAUCUCCUGCUCACACGUAAAUACGCGCUAAACGUGAAGUUGCUGAAAACCGAACCCAUACAACUAAAAUACAUAUACCGUUGGUAAAUGUAUAAUAAAUCCACCUUUAAAAUAUUACAUGUUACUGCAGCUUUUGGUCGCCACUUCUGCGCGGAAUUGAAAAAAAUAUAGUAAUAAAGAAACCCUAUGUUUAGAAAAUAGAUAUGAUCUUAAGCCUAUGCCACUCAGUGCCAAUGUACUCUAAGCUAUGUAGAUUUUAAUCUACAAGAUACAAGAAUGUAUAUGGUUAGUAGCCAACAUAUAAGCUGCAUAAAAGGUAAUGAAAACAAGCUGCUUGAUAGUGUCACUUAAAGGUGUAGCUGCCUUUAAAAUGAUUGAUUGCAACAAAAUGCUGCACUUUGCCCAGUGAUACAUUUGAUGACAUGAUGACAUAUACCUCUAAAAGUGAUACAUUUUUUCAAAGUUCAGUGUUAAUCUUAUUAAUAUCAGUCAAAACAUGUUCUAUGUUUUACUAACAUAUAGUUUGGCAAGAUGAGCAUAAGAAAAAAAA